CUGCUUCCUCACAGCACACCCAUCCUCCAGUCUGUGGUUGCCCGGGAUGGUCGUAGCACAAGUCACUGAUGAAGAUGUGGUUGGCUUCUUCACACUACUGGGGAACUGAAUUUUCAUUGUCUUUAUGGGAGAGGACAUGGUCCUGUUAGGCUCAACUCCUGUCGGAUCCACCCAUAUCCAUCCGUGGUGAUUUCUAUAACCUCCAAGCUUGCUUACCUGCCUCUCCUUUGCAAUCCUGUGAGGGUCCCUUGGACUAAGUGCGUGAAGUCCUUUGAUGAAGUUUGGAGUUCUUGACUGAGAUCAAAUCAAGAGGAUGGCAUUCUCUGAGAAUAUUAAGUGUUGGAACUCUACAGUUGAUCUUACCCAGAAGUGACACCUUCCAGUUGUUUUGACUUGUUAAAGUAGUAACAUGUCUCAUCUUGUUAAUUAGAGGAAAUAUAACUCGUUUUAAAAAAUUAAAUAUUGCAAAAAUGUCAGCAUGUGACAUAGAAGGAAAGCUUUCUGAAAAAGCUUAAAGCAGAAUAAGUAAUUAAGUUGAAGGGUGAUAUUGUAAGAUAUUUAUAUAACUACUUGAAAUCAUAUAUUAGUGCUCAAAAGAUACAUUCCAAAUUCUUAGUGGUGGUCACUUUGGAGAGGUAGACUGACUGGAUAAUGAUGCUAUCAAGAGUCCAGUGAGAAUUUCAAAAUUAUCUAUAAUUUUUGUGAUGUCAGUUUUGUUGUUGUUAUUGCUUUGUUUGUUUUUCGAGAAAGGGUUU